rnacentral:rRNA from 1 species
AGGGAAUCUUCCGCAAUGGACGAAAGUCUGACGGAGCAACGCCGCGUGAGUGGAGAAGGUUUUCGGAUCGUAAAACUCUGUUGUCAGGGAAGAACAAGUACGGGAGUAACUGCCCGUACCUUGACGGUACCUGGCCAGAAAGCCACGGCUAACUACGUGCCAGCAGCCGCGGUAAUACGUAGGUGGCAAGCGUUGUCCGGAAUUAUUGGGCGUAAAGCGCGCGCAGGCGGCCUUUUAAGUCUGAUGUGAAAGCCCCCGGCUCAACCGGGGAGGGUCAUUGGAAACUGGAAGGCUUGAGUGCAGAAGAGAAGAGCGGAAUUCCACGUGUAGCGGUGAAAUGCGUAGAGAUGUGGAGGAACACCAGUGGCGAAGGCGGCUCUUUGGUCUGUAACUGACGCUGAGGCGCGAAAGCGUGGGGAGCGAAC